rnacentral:rRNA from 1 species
GAUGAACGCUGGCGGCGUGCCUAAUACAUGCAAGUCGAGCGAACAGACGAGGAGCUUGCUCCUCUGACGUUAGCGGCGGACGGGUGAGUAACACGUGGAUAACCUACCUAUAAGACUGGUAUAACUUCGGGAAACCGGAGCUAAUACCGGAUAAUAUAUUGAACCGCAUGGUUCAAUAGUGAAAGACGGUUUUGCUGUCACUUAUAGAUGGAUCCGCGCCGCAUUAGCUAGUUGGUAAGGUAACGGCUUACCAAGGCGACGAUGCGUAGCCGACCUGAGAGGGUGAUCGGCCACACUGGAACUGGGACACGGUCCAGAGUCCUACGGGAGGCAGCAGUAGGGAAUCUUCCGCAGUGGGCGAGAGCCUGACGGAGCAACGCCGCGUGAGUGAUGAAGGUCUUCGGAUCGUAAAACCCUGUUAUUAGGGAAGAACAAAUGUGUAAGUAACUAUGCACGGCUUGACGGUACCUAAUCAGAAAGCCACGGCUAACUACGUG